rnacentral:rRNA from 1 species
AUUGAACGCUGGCGGCAUGCCUUACACAUGCAAGUCGAACGGCAGCACGGGAGCAAUCCUGGUGGCGAGUGGCGAACGGGUGAGUAAUAUAUCGGAACGUGCCCAGUCGUGGGGGAUAACGUAGCGAAAGCUACGCUAAUACCGCAUACGAUCUAUGGAUGAAAGCGGGGGGAUCGCAAGACCUCGCGCGAUUGGAGCGGCCGAUAUCAGAUUAGCUAGUUGGUGAGGUAAAGGCGUCACCAAGGCGACGAUCUGUAGCGGGUCUGAGAGGAUGAUCCGCCACACUGGAACUGAGACACGGUCCAGACUCUACGGGAGGCAGCAGUGGGGAAUUUUGGACAAUGGGGGCAACCCUGAUCCAGCCAUGCCGCGUCGAGUGAAGAAGGCCUCGGUUGUAAG